UUCCACGGCUAUACCACCCUGAACGCGCUCGAUCUCGUCUGAUAUCAGUAGCUAAGCAGGGUCGGGCCUGGUUAGUACUUGGAUGGGAGACCGCUGUUGCUGUAGGCA
rnacentral:rRNA from 1 species